AUGAGGAAACUGAUGCCUGCAGAUGUGGUGACUUGUCAAAAUGCAUUGAGAUAAUGAGGUAAGAAAAUUAAACACACACACAUAGCACACAAAUAAGCAAAUACAUAUCUCUUAACAAUUAGUCCAAAAUCUGUUUUUUCUAGAAAAUUCAAAGAAAUUUUAUGCUAAAGUAGUAUUUUUUAACAUAAGAUAUAUAUUUUUUAAAUUCUUGUAUCAAAAUAUAGGGACAGAUUUACUUUUCUUUCUCUUUUCCCUUCAGCCAUAUAUAGAUUAUUCAUUGCAAAUCACUCAGGUACAAAACAUGUUCUCUUGAUUCAUGAAAGCGUCUUUGAUCUUCAUGUAAAUAAACAGUCUGUCUUCCUCCCAUAGGACUGUUUCAUGAAAAUGAUUUCUUUCAUCAAGUAGUUUGUCUCAUCCCAGUGAACAUCAAGGUAGUUUUCUUCAGAGCUUCAAACAAGCAUUUCCUACACAUUUACAGGAAAUAUACUAAACAUAAUAAAUGGCAGCCUACCUCACCAUCUCUUCCUGGGAAGCUAAGCACAGACAGUGAGAGACUUAUGUCAAUAAUUCUCAUACAUUGUGGGAAAACCAUGAUGAGUCAGACAUUGAAGUCAUAAUGGCUUGAACUGAGACUUCACAUGACCAUGUCCUCUUCUUUCGAUGAAAUUCUAUAAGAUGUUCCCUUCAGGGAAAAGGCUAUUCCUGUUAUGAAAAAAGAUGCUGUCUGAUGUUUUAAUUUGGCACUAGGAAGUAAAUGCAUAUAUGGGAGAAGGAAGAACCUAGACUAUGAAAAAUCAGAAAUUUAGAUAGGAGGACAAACAUCUUUUAUUAAACUUAGAAAUGAAUCAUGUUAAUGAUACAAAAUUCAAAAGAAGAAGUGCAAUUUUCAGAGAACAUAUAUUUUUAGUAAGACCAGAAGAAAAACCCUUUGAGGCAAGAUGGAACCUUCCAAGAUCCAGACGCUCAGGCUCCCAUGUGAUCCUUGGUCACAAGCCACUGUCAAUCAUACCUAGAGAUGAUAAGUGGCCCCAUGAAAACUAAUGAGAUCACCAAGGGAAAUAACAUGGAGAGGAAAGAGAAGAGCAUUCAGGACAAAACUUGGGGGACACCAGCAUCUAAGGAAUAUCACAAAAAUGAUGGUUCAGUAAACAACACUGCUAAGUGAUCAGAUAAGUAGACAGAACUAGGAGAAAAUAUAUAACCUCUUUAAUUCUUUC
rnacentral:lncRNA from 1 species